AUUGAACGCUGGCGGCAGGCCUAACACAUGCAAGUCGAACGAGUGGCGGACGGGUGAGUAAUGUCUGGGAAACUGCCCGAUGGCGGGGGAUAACUACUGGAAACGGUAGCUAAUACCGCAUACCAUCGGAUGUGCCCCGAUGGGAUUCGCUAGGAGGUGGGGUAACGGCUCACCUAGGCGAGGAUCCCUAGCUGGUCUGCGAGGAUGACAAGCCACACUGGAACUGGGACACUGUCCAGACGCCUACGGGAGGCAGCAGUGGGGAAUAUGGCACAAUGGGCGCAAGCCUGAUGCAGCCAUGCCGCGUGUAUGAAGAAGGCCUUCGGGUUGUAAAGUACUUUCAGCGAGGAGGCGGUACUCGCAGAAGAAGCACCGGCUAACUCCGUGCCAGCAGCCGCGGUAAUAC
rnacentral:rRNA from 1 species